rnacentral:rRNA from 1 species
CCUACGGGAGGCUGCAGUGGGGAAUAUUGCACAAUGGGGGAAACCCUGAUGCAGCAAUGCCGCGUGAGUGAAGAAGUAUUUCGGUAUGUAAAGCUCUAUCAGCAGGGAAGAAGAUGACGGUACCUGACCAAGAAGCCCCGGCUAACUACGUGCCAGCAGCCGCGGUAAUACGUAGGGGGCAAGCGUUAUCCGGAUUUACUGGGUGUAAAGGGAGCGUAGACGGCAGCACAAGUCUGGAGUGAAAUCCCGGGGCUUAACCCCGGAACUGCUUUGGAAACUGUGCGGCUGGAGUGCAGGAGGGGUAAGCGGAAUUCCUAGUGUAGCGGUGAAAUGCGUAGAUAUUAGGAGGAACACCGGUGGCGAAGGCGGCUUACUGGACUGUAACUGACGUUGAGGCUCGAAAGCGUGGGGAGCAAACAGGAUUAGAUACCCCAGUAGUC